GAUGAAGUUUGUCCGUGUUAUUGUGAAUGUUAACUGUAUCCUGGUCUUCUAAGCAGUGAGCAUAGACAUCAUUUAACAAUGUAAGACCAGGAAUGAUACUCUAAGAAGUAUAACAUUUCUUUAACUUCCCAUUCCUGUGCUUCUUUGGAUGUAAUUUAAGAUCUAAACUCUGUGCUUUUUAUUUUUUGAAGACUUUGUGGGGGUAAAGAAAGCUCUCACUUACACGUUUACAGUGUAUCAACUCAAAGCUGAGCUGAACUGGCAGUGUAAAGACUUAUACUCGACUUAAAUAUAAUAUGAAUCAUCUAUUGUUUAGAAAAUAACAUUCAUCCAUUUGAGCUAUUCCUAUUGGUUUGCUACAUCUAGAAGCUUCUAUCUAAACAGUGUAUUAAGCAUUUAUACACAUUUCAUGUUUUGUAUUUACAGUCAUUUGCGUACGGUAAACAGGAAACGCAUCACUACUAUGAGGGGUAAGCGGAGGUACACAGGAAAUGCAUCACUACUAUGAGGGGUAAGUGGAGGUAAACAGGAAACGCAUCACUACUAUGAGGGGUAAGUGGAGGUAAACAGGAAACGCAUCACUACUAUGAGGGGUAAGUGGAGGUAAACAGGAAACGCAUCACUACUAUGAGGGGUAAGCGGAGGUACACAGGAAACGCAUCACUACUAUGAGGGGUAAGCGGAGGUAAACAGGAAACGCAUCACUACUAUGAGGGGUAAGCGGAGGUACACAGGAAACGCAUCACUACUAUGAGGGGUAAGUGGAGGUAAACAGGAAACGCAUCACUACUAUGAGGGGUAAGCGGAGGUACACAGGAAACGCAUCACUACUAUGAGGGGUAAGCGGAGGUAAACAGGAAACGCAUCACUACUAUGAGGGGUAAGUGGAGGUAAACAGGAAACGCAUCACUACUAUGAGGGGUAAGCGGAGGUAAACAGGAAACGCAUCACUACUAUGAGGGGUAAGUGGAGGUACACAGGAAACGCAUCACUACUAUGAGGGGUAAGUGGAGGUACACAGGAAACGCAUCACUACUAUGAGGGGUAAGCGGAGGUACACAGGAAACGCAUCACUACUAUGAGGGGUAAGCGGAGGUACACAGGAAACGCAUCACUACUAUGAGGGGUAAGCGGAGGUAAACAGGAAACGCAUCACUACUAUGGGGGGUAAGCGGAGGUACACAGGAAACGCAUCACUACUAUGAGGGGUAAGCGGAGGUAAACAGGAAACGCAUCACUACUAUGAGGGGUAAGCGGAGGUAAACAGGAAACGCAUCACUACUAUGAGGGGUAAGCGGAGGUAAACAGGAAACGCAUCACUACUAUGAGGGGUAAGCGGAGGUAAACAGGAAACGCAUCACUACUAUGAGGGGUAAGUGGAGGUAAACAGGAAACGCAUCACUACUAUGAGGGGUAAGUGGAGGUAAACAGGAAACGCAUCACUACUAUGAGGGGUAAGUGGAGGUAAACAGGAAACGCAUCACUACUAUGAGGGGUAAGUGGAGGGAAACAGGAAACGCAUCACUACUAUGAGGGGUAAGUGGAGGGAAACAGGAAACACAUCACUACUAUGAGGGGUAAGUGGAGGUAAACAGGAAACGCAUCACUACUAUGAGGGGUAAGUGGAGGGAAACAGGAAACGCAUCACUACUAUGAGGGGUAAGUGGAGGUAAACAGGAAACGCAUCACUACUAUGAGGGGUAAGUGGAGGUAAACAGGAAACGCAUCACUACUAUGAGGGGUAAGUGGAGGGAAACAGGAAACACAUCACUACUAUGAGGGGUAAGUGGAGGUAAACAGGAAACGCAUCACUACUAUGAGGGGUAAGUGGAGGGAAACAGGAAACGCAUCACUACUAUGAGGGGUAAGUGGAGGUAAACAGGAAACGCAUCACUACUAUGAGGGGUAAGUGGAGGGAAACAGGAAGAGAAAGAACACUGCCGUUGAUGGUGAUCCAAUACGCUGUGAAGCAGAUCACUGAUGUACAUAGUGACCGAUGGCCGCACAUAAUAUUGACACUCUAUGUUGGUUACGGUCCAUACUGUCAGGACAGGUAGAUUAAGUUGGGACAUGUACAUUUAUUUUUGACAUGUAACUCGAAUGUAUCCACCAUAUAACUAUUGCAAUUAUGAAACAUGGCACAUAAUCACAUCUAUUGGCUACCGCAUGUUAAGAAUUCUAAUUUAGAUUAAAAAGUAAUGAAUACAAUUUUGCAAUAUAGUGCUCUGUACAUACAUACCUACACUACUUUACCUGAACCAGUUACUUUCUUGUCUCUAACCUUGACGUCAGUCUUUCUCUCACGCUCUACUGACAUAGAUACAUACAGUAUAUAUCAUUGUAAACAUAAGUAAGUGCCAUGUAAACAAGCUGGCUAAUAAUGUUGUCUUCGUUUAGGAAUCUGAGCAUGUAUGGCACUGAAACAUAUGACUAUCAGUUAUAUAGAUACGGUUAUCCCAGACAAGGUUGUGGAGGGAUACAGUCAAUAUUAUGACAGGAUUUAACACUGUUAUCUAGAACAAAACAUUUGGUACAGCAUGCAUAUCUGGAGGAAGAGGUAUUACUGUAGCUACUGUAACUGUCUCUAGUCUGGUUCCCUGUGUGCUCCCAUCUGGAUGGGCUUCUACUUGUUGUUUCUGUACUUCUAGUGAUUGAUAGACUUGUGUUCUUUGUUCUCAGCUUUUCAGUGGGACACUGUAAUGCCAUAUUUUCACUUGUGCUAACAGUUUGCUUUUCGCACUCAACCCUGAAGUCAAUGUUGACUGUGAACUACUCUCUGCCUUGCCUGACGGUCUGGUCUGGUCUAGUCUGGUCUAGUCUAGUCUGCUCUGGUCUGUUUUGGUCUGGUUUGGUCUGUUUUGGUCUGGUCUGGUUUGGUCCAGUCUGGUCUGGUCUGGUCUGUUUUGGUCUGGUCUGGUUUGGUCUGGUUUGGUCUAAUCUGCUGGGCUCUGCUCCGGUCUGGUUUGGUCUGGUUUGCUCUGGUCUGGUCUGCUCUAUGCAUGUACAGUACUCUAUAUCUUACCAAUGGGCAGCCACACCCCUCCAGAUACUGGCCUGGCCCUGCUGUUUGGGCCUCCCUUUCUCUCUUUUUUUUGUUUCUCUCUGAAGCCAGAGAGUGGAGGACUACCGUGGUGACUGGCCAUAGUCCUCUACCACAGGGAUAUAUACAUGUAUCACUGUGUCCUCUAUUGGCACCUGGGCUGUGUCAGUAGAGACGCCAGGAGAAGCCAGGAGAAGCACUGCAGAGGGCACAUUCAUUUACAGUAUAUGACUCCAGCUGUGUGAGCUGCUCACAGAUCUACCGACCGUACACAUUCAUUUACAGUAUAUGACUCCAGCUGUGUGAGCUGCUCACAGAUCUACCUACCGUACACUGUAUAGCCCUCUUUAUAUAUACUGAACUAAAAUAUAAACGUAACGUGUAAAGUGUUGGUCCCAUGUUUCAUGAGCUGAAAUAAAAGAUCCCAGACAUUUUCCACAUGCACAAAAAGCUUAUUUCUCUCAUAUUUUGUGCACACAUUUGUUUACAUCACUGUUAGUGAGCAUUUUUCCUUUGCCAAGAUAAUCCAUCCACCUCACAGGUGUAGCAUGUCAAGAAGCUGAUUAAAGAGCAUGAUCAUUACACAGGUACACAGGUGCUGGGGACAAUAAAAGGCCACUCUAAAAUGUGCAGUUUUGUCACACAACACAAUGUCACAGAUGUCUCAUUUUGAGGGAGCGUGUAAUUGGCAUGCUGACUGCAGGAAUGUUCACCAGAGCUGUUUCCAGGUCAUUUCAUCUUCAUUUCCCUACCAUAAGCCGCCUCCAAUGUUGUUUUAGAGAAUUUGGCAGUACCUCCAACUGGCCUCACAACAGCAGACCAUGUGCAUGGCGUUGUGUGGGCGAGCGGUUUGCCGAUGUCAACGGUGUGAACAGAGUGCCCCAUGGUGGCGGUGGGGUUAUGGUAUAAGCUACUGACAACUAACACAAUUGCAUUUUAUCCAUGGCACAGAGAUGCACAGAGAUAAAGUGACGAGAUCCUGGGGCCCAUUGUUGUUAGGGUAUCUGUGACCAAAAGAUGUAUAUCUGAAUUCCCAGUCAUGUAAAAUCCAUAGAUUUGGGUCUAAUUAAUUCAUUUAAAUUGACUGAUUUUCUUAUAUGAACUGUAACUCAGUAAAACCUUUGACAUUUUUGCAUGUUGCGUUUAUAUUCUUGUUCAGUAUACUGUAGUUAACAGCUUCUAAUCUCAGAGAGCAGAGACAGACAGGGCAGAAAGUAGUGGCAGGAUUCCACUCCAACACGCACUCUGAACCUGCAGUGAGUCAACCAGACCCAUUAUAAAUUCUAACAAUACAUAGGGAUUUUAAAACAUCACAGAAGAUGAGAUGGAUGAUCUACAACAGGUAUUACUAAUCAGUGUUGGCAAGGAAAAGGGAGCAUUUGACUAAGUGCCAGGGCUUCCAGGUCGCUCAGCAACAAUGACAAGGGGUUCAAAUAGACAUGCCAAAGGAAAGCUCCUCUCUCUGGUACCAGCCGUUAAUGCCAACCUCUUCCUAGUCAUUUUCCCAACCCUUUUAUUCCCUCCUUCUUUUCUGGAUAAUAGUAACGAUGGACAGAAUGUGUCAGGAGGUAAGGAGAAAUUGUUGGGGGGCUG